UACGUAGGGUGCGAGCGUUACUCGGAAUUACUGGGCGUAAAGCGUGCGCAGGCGGCGCGUUAAGACAGGUGUGAAAGCCCCGAGCUUAACUUGGGAAUUGCGCUUGUGACUGGCGGGCUGGAGUGUGGCAGAGGGAGGUGGAAUUCCACGUGUAGCAGUGAAAUGCGUAGAGAUGUGGAGGAACACCGAUGGCGAAGGCAGCCUCCUGGGCCAGCACUGACGCUCAUGCACGAAAGCGUGGGGAGCAAACAGG
rnacentral:rRNA from 1 species